rnacentral:rRNA from 1 species
CCUACGGGAGGCAGCAGUAGGGAAUAUUGCUCAAUGGGGGAAACCCUGAAGCAGCAACGCCGCGUGGAGGAUGAAGGUUUUCGGAUUGUAAACUCCUUUUGUUAGAGAAGAUAAUGACGGUAUCUAACGAAUAAGCACCGGCUAACUCCGUGCCAGCAGCCGCGGUCAUACGGAGGGUGCAAGCGUUACUCGGAAUCACUGGGCGUAAAGAGCGCGUAGGCGUGAUAGCAAGUCAGAUGUGAAAUCCUAUGGCUUAACCAUAGAACUGCAUUUGAAACUGUUAUUCUAGAGUAUGGGAGAGGUAGGUGGAAUUCUUGGUGUAGGGGUAAAAUCCGUAGAGAUCAAGAGGAAUACUCAUUGCGAAGGCGACCUGCUAGAACAUAACUGACGCUGAUGCGCGAAAGCGUGGGGAGCAAACAGGAUUAGAUACCCCAGUAGUC